GGUUUGAGUGCUUGUCCGUCUCCACAGAUGACUCCAACUUUACAUCUUAAAAUGCAUAUUUCUCUCCAGCAAUCCAUCCAAACAAAGAUCUGCCCAGGUGUGCUGCAUCACAUAAUGAGGUGCACUGCACCCGGCAUGGAGGAGGUGCUUCAGAGCUCCUGUGCCAGCAGUAGAGGAGAGAGGCCUCUGGAGUGGAGACUGCUGGCCUGCUGCCUCUCAGCCUGGGAUUCUUGUUGGGAUCGUCCCUGGAUGCCUCCCUGUGGGCGCAUUUCACGCUCGGCCAGCUGGGAGGACACCACGAGGCAGAACCAGGAUACGCUGCAGGGAUCACAUCUCCCAGCUGACCGGGGAGCACUAAGGGGAAGAUACUGCUGCAGAGAGAAGGUGUCCGGUGCUAAUUUCUCUAAUUUGCUACGCCAUGAAUGAAUGGAUGCUCACUGGAUCAGCGGAUAGAGGAAAAUUUUACCCAAGGUGGAAAACACAUUCCAGUUUUUGAAUUGUCAGAGUUCAGUGUAUGUGACCAUCAUGCUCUAUCACAAAUUUUGAAUUUCAGCCUGUUUCUAUGGGUGCAAAUAGAAAAUAUAUAUGUAUACUGAGGGUUCAGCUCAAGAUCCCAAAGUAGGGGAGGUAUCUUCAUAAGCCAUUUUUGGCUUCUAACC